GAUGAACGCCAGCGGCAGGCUUAAUACAUGCAAGUCGAGGGGCAGCAUGGCUGUAGCAAUACAGCUGAUGGCGACCGGCAAACGGGUGCGGAACACGUACGCAACUUACCCAUAACUGAUGAAUAGCCCUCCGAAAGGAGGAUUAAUACAUCGUCAUACUUAUUGGUGGCAUCACCGAAAAGCUAUAGCUCGGGCGGUUAUGGAUGGGCGUGCGGAUGAUUAGGUAGUUGGUUGAGGUAACGGCUCACCAAGCCUGCGAUCAGUAACUGGUGUGAGAGCACGACCAGUCACACGGGCACUGAGACACGGGCCCGACUCCUACGGGAGGCAGCAGUAAGGAAUAUUGGUCAAUGGACGCAAGUCUGAACCAGCCAUGCCGCGUGAAGGAUGAAGGUCCUCUGGAUUGUAAACUUCUUUUACAGGGGAAGAAACCCGGAAAUUCUUUUUCGGUUGACGGUACCCUGAGAAUAAGCACCGGCUAACUCCGUGCCAGCAGCCGCAGUAAGAC
rnacentral:rRNA from 1 species